ACGAGGAGGGCGGAGCGAGGGGGAGCGGAGUAGCAAGUAUCGCGAGAACUCCCACGGCUGAAAGGAAAAUUAGUGUUUUGUGGUUAAAGCUGUAGUCUGAGAAGACAAUGAGAAAACCAACAAACCCAUCUGGCCAAAGCGCAGUUUGUCGGCGCGCCUGUCCAAAACAGCUUGGAGGAAAACACAGCGGUCAGCUAUAGGCCUUGGCUCUUAUCAAGGACCGUAGGGCUGGGAUUGGUCAUGACGUCACCUAGUGGCACAGCGUGGAAACCUGGCGGAGGAGUUUCGGCACACUUGGUUUAAAAAGAGCUUUGUUGUCCUUCUCCGACAAGGAAUUUAGACACUGGAACCUGGAAGAGGCCAGUCCCUCUGCUGACCUGUGAAUCUCCAAUAUGUGACACCCAGGAGUUGCUUGCCAUGAUGUUUUGUACUAGGUAGACUAAGAAGGAAAAGAAGCAGGAGCCAGAUGGAUUGAGAGGAGCAGAAAGGAGAGUACAGAGAGACAGAGGAAGCAGACCCUGCAGCUGCCAUCAUCCUGACUCCGCCCUGCCCCGUUGUGAGCGGGGGCUGGGUGAAUGAGAGGCACCAACAGGAAGUCAGAAGG